CUAUCAUGCAGUCGAGCGAACAGAUAAGGAGCUUGCUCCUUUGACGUUAGCGGCGGACGGGUGAGUAACACGUGGAUAACCUACCUAUAAGACUGGGAUAACUUCGGGAAACCGGAGCUAAUACCGGAUAACAUAUUGAACCGCAUGGUUCAAUAGUGAAAGGCGGCUUUGCUGUCACUUAUAGAUGGAUCCGCGCCGUAUUAGCUAGUUGGUAAGGUAACGGCUUACCAAGGCAACGAUACGUAGCCGACCUGAGAGGGUGAUCGGCCACACUGGAACUGAGACACGGUCCAGACUCCUACGGGAGGCAGCAGUAGGGAAUCUUCCGCAAUGGGCGAAAGCCUGACGGAGCAACGCCGCGUGAGUGAUGAAGGUCUUCGGAUCGUAAAACUCUGUUAUCAGGGAAGAACAAAUGUGUAAGUAACUGUGCACAUCUUGACGGUACCUGAUCAGAAAGCCACGGCUAACUACGUGCCAGCAGCCGCGGUAAUACGUAGGUGGCAAGCGUUAUCCGGAAUUAUUGGGCGUAAAGCGCGCGUAGGCGGUUUUUUAAGUCUGAUGUGAAAGCCCACGGCUCAACCGUGGAGGGUCAUUGGAAACUGGAAAACUUGAGUGCAGAAGAGGAAAGUGGAAUUCCAUGUGUAGCGGUGAAAUGCG
rnacentral:rRNA from 1 species